GAUGAACGCUGGCGGCGUGCCUAAUACAUGCAAGUCGAGCGAACAGAUGAGGAGCUUGCUCCUCUGACGUUAGCGGCGGACGGGUGAGUAACACGUGGAUAACCUACCUAUAAGACUGGGAUAACUUCGGGAAACCGGAGCUAAUACCGGAUAAUAUAUUGAACCGCAUGGUUCAAUAGUGAAAGACGGUUUUGCUGUCACUUAUAGAUGGAUCCGCGCCGCAUUAGCUAGUUGGUAAGGUAACGGCUUACCAAGGCAACGAUGCGUAGCCGACCUGAGAGGGUGAUCGGCCACACUGGAACUGAGACACGGUCCAGACCCCUACGGGAGGCAGCAGUAGGGAAUCUUCCGCAAUGGGCGAAAGCCUGACGGAGCAACGCCGCGUGAGUGAUGAAGGUCUUCGGAUCGUAAAACUCUGUUAUUAGGGAAGAACAAAUGUGUAAGUAACUAUGCACGUCUUGACGGUACCUAAUCAGAAAGCCACGGCUAACUACGU
rnacentral:rRNA from 1 species